AAAAUAUGUCAACUAAAUUUUCAGAUAAAUGUAUACAUAGAUGAAAACAUAAAUGCUUACAUAAAAUUACACUUACACCGGUUUUUAACAGUGUAAUUAUAUUCGAUUCGACAUAAUGAAUUCGUGCGGGAAAUUAAAAACAUUUAUUCCAUUGCUGUAUAAUGAAUAUCAUUAAUAAAUAUAUAAAAAUCUCAAUCACAAAUGAAUUCCAUUGCUUAUUCAUACAAGGUCAACACCUGAUGCACAAAGAUUCAUCCACAGCC